UUGCAGUCAGUUAAGCCAACUGACCUCUUUUCCCCGUGGGGGCCCAUGUGCCAUGGCUGCAAAGAGCAGCCUCCUCAGUGGCUGCUAUCUGUAGGGGUGGCUCUGAGGGACCUGGGAGACAUUC
ensembl:snoRNA SNORA70 Small nucleolar RNA SNORA70